rnacentral:rRNA from 1 species
CGCUGGCGGCGCGCUUAACACAUGCAAGUCGCACGAGAAAGUGGAGCAAUCCAUGAGUACAGUGGCGUACGGGUGAGUAACACGUGGGUAAUCUACCUCUGAGUGGGGAAUAACCCUGGGAAACCGGGGCUAAUACCGCAUAUUCUCGAGAGAGGAAAGCAGCAAUGCGCUGAGAGAGGAGCCCGCGGCCGAUUAGCUAGUUGGCAGGAUAAAAGCCUACCAAGGCAUAGAUCGGUAGCCGGCCUGAGAGGGCACACGGCCACACUGGCACUGAAGCACGGGCCAGACUCCUACGGGAGGCAGCAGUGGGGAAUCUUGCACAAUGGGGGAAACCCUGAUGCAGCGACGCCGCGUGAGCGAUGAAGCCCCUCGGGGUGUAAAGCUCUUUCGGCAGGGAAGAUGAUGACGGUACCUGCAGAAGCAGCUGCGGCUAACUACGUGCCAGCAGCCGCGGUAAUACGUAGGCAGCGAGCGUUGUUCGGAGUUACUGGGCGUAAAGGGUGUGUAGGCGGUUGUUUAAGUUUGGUGUGAAAUCUCCCGGCUCAACUGGGAGGGUGCGCCGAAUACUGAAUGACUUCGAGUGCGGGAGAGGAGAGUGGAAUUCCUGGUGUAGCGGUGAAAUGCGUAGAUAUCAGGAGGAACACCGGCGGUGUAGACGGCUCUCUGGACCGUAACUGACGCUGAAACACGAAAGCGUGG